GACGAACCGUGUGAACGUUAUUCGGAAUCACUGGGCUUAAAGCGCGUGUAGGCGGGCGGGUACGUCGGCGACUGAAAGCCCCCGGCUCAACCGGGGAAGGGGUGCCGAAACGGCCGGCCUGGAGGGGCGUAGGGGGACCUGGAACUUCCGGUGGAGCGGUGAAAUGCGUUGAGAUCGGAAGGAACGCCCGUGGCGAAAGCGAGGUCCUGGACGCCAACUGACGCUGAGACGCGAAAGCCAGGGGAGCGAACGGG
rnacentral:rRNA from 1 species